GCCAGGUGUGGUGGCGGACACCUGUAGUCCCAGCUACUUGGGCGGCUGAGGCCGGAGGCUCACUUAAGCCCAGGAGUUCUGGGCUGCAGUGCACUAGGUUCAGCAUCUAUAUGGUGACCUCCCAGGAGCUGGGGACCACUAGGUUGCCUAAGGAGGGGUGAACUGGCCCAGAUCGGAAACAGAGCAGGUAGAAAAACAUGGAAAAGUUUUUCCUAUACAAUUUGAUGAUUCUUACCUUUGAUGAGCCUUGCCUUUU
rnacentral:SRP_RNA from 1 species